UCUAUCACAGAUUCACAUUGCCGAUCUUUGCUGUCCUGUCCAUCUUGGUUAUGGUGACUAGAUACAGAGGACAGCACCGGAGUUUCGGCUACAGGUACAGGCUCACCAACCCCUGUGAAAAUCAGGAAGGUGUAACAAUAAUCAUGGUGCAACUGAUAUGUCACUCACGGUCAGCAACAGCUGCAUAACAACCCAUCACAGCAAGGAGAGGCAGCAGACUUAAACCUAGCAUCCGAAAAUACUGUCUCUGCACAAACAGGUUUGAUGUAGAUGCCAGGCAACUUGGGCUCCGCUACAGCCUGUGGGUGCAGACUUACCUUUGGCUUGGCUCGGCCCCGGUUGGCAGACCGACCCCUGCGCGUUGUAUUCUUGGGACCACGUGGAACACCCUUGGGCCAACCUCUCUUCCUAACCAAGGAUAACUGGUCGCUGUCACUGGUUUUAUCAUCCACAUCUGAGACUGCAAGUUGGUCAGUCUUGGUCUCCUGUGGAUUGUCACAUUUGCUCUUAUCUUCAUUCUUCCUCUCAACCUGAAAAACAAUUAUGUUUAAGAAAUCUUUAUAUGGUAAAUAUAGACAACAGAAUGGAUUUAUGAAAUAAAUUACUAGUGCCAUAAGAAAACAAAAAAGCACAGUUGUCAUAUCACUGCAGAUCCUGCAUCCACCAGCAAACACUAACUCACCUGCAACUGUUCGGUGGGUUUCUCCAAAUCCACCAUGGGCUCCAGGUGGGGCAUUUCAGGUUCUAUUGUCUCUUGACUGCAAAAGAGCAUUUUAAUUUGUCAAAAUAAGUAUUAGUGCAAGUCUGAUGAUCAAUGCUAAGAAAAUCUUGUAAAACUACACAUACUUAUCAUUAAAGUCACAUCUGUACUACUAA